rnacentral:lncRNA from 1 species
UCUAGAUGGUCCAUUGUGUCGGCAGUUCCAUCAUAGAGUUCCAUCUGAGGCAUCUUGAAUUGAGAUGGGAGGGCUCAUCCAUUAUUUUCUGAGUAAAUGAAGGAUCAAUGUUGAACCUUAGAUCAUCCUCCAGUUGCUUCGGCACUUGAAGUGCAUCAAUCCACUGCUGCAUUUCUCGAAGCUUUUUUUCCAUCUAAUCUUCUCGAGUUGGUCGACGCCGAGGAGGAGCACGACCCGAAGUACAGUCUCUUCUAGAGAUCGGGGUAGGAGACCGCCUAUAAUGAUGACGAGGUGGGCUGUUAUGUCGACUUUGAUGACUAGCCUCCGCCUUUGGGCUAUGGGAAAGCCGAUCGGCCAAUCUCUCUCUGGCUGGCUGUGUAUUUUUUACAGUGAAAGAUAGUUUUAAGUUUUGUUGCAUCCCUGUCACCAUGGCUGAAAGUAUCUAUACCUACUGAAUAAGGCUAUUAUAUUGAUCGUGGGAGAUUGCUGGCACCAUUGGUGGAGGAUUCUCCGAUGCUGGUGGCAGUGGUGCAUUGAUCGACUGGAUGUUAUUGGCCUGACGACUGUUGGAGCAUUGCGAUAUAUUUGAUGCACCCUUUUGCAU